GUUCGCAGUAAGCUUUAUUCCUGCAUAAAAACCGCCCAUGAGUGCCAUUGAGAUGGAAAAACAUAAAAUUAUCCACACUGUAUCGCAACCAAUAUAUACGGCUAUAACCAUAAAGAGCCCAGAAGGUGUGGCAGCUAAUGUGCGAAAAAUUUGUGUGAUAAUAUACAUUUAAUUAAGCGCCAUCUCUCCACAUACAUACCUACGAAUGCCAUCAGUUUUCGCAUAACCGUCACGGAGAAUAUUUCAUAGUUGACUAGCAAAUCCGAGACCACACCGGAUAGCACAGACAGCAACCAAUUCAUAAUAUACGGCAUUUGAUUCUGCAAGCCAUUGAUCACAUUUUCAAUUAACGGUUGCUGUUUGGCGUCUUUUAUAAAUUGUGGAACCUCAGCCGCAUGUUCCAGCUGUGUCCAAUCAUAUUGUAUGGUGGCCGAAAUGAGCGCCCACAUAGAUAUUGCUUUUCCCUCACUUUGAUGAAUGGAUUUUCCUCUGGCGUAUUGUAACACAUGUAUGUCUAGUUUGUGGAAGAAGAUCGACUUAUUUUGCUUUUAAAGUCAUGUUUUUUAGUGUACUUACGAAACCAAUGAACCAAAGUAAUGUGCAUACACCAAAGUAAUAGAAAAUCAACGACCAAUCGUAGCGAUGUAAUAGCAAGCCGGCUAUAAAAUUACCCAUUGAAAUGCCAAUUUGACUGCCACUUAGCACCAGUGAGCCCAACGUUGCGCGCUCCUUACCCGGCACCCAUUUGGAGAGCAAUUCGCUUAAUGCUGGAUACGUUGGUCCUUCACUGAAGCCAAUUAGCAAACGUAUCGCUAUAAGUGCCAAUGGACCACCCCAUUUCACCACAGCUGGUGUGAGCAACGUAAGCAAUGCGGUUAUGGCCAAA